rnacentral:rRNA from 1 species
UACGUAGGGGGCAAGCGUUGUCCGGAAUCAUUGGGCGUAAAGCGCGUGUAGGCGGCUCGAUAAGUCUGCUGUGAAAGUCCAGGGCUCAACCCUGGGAUGCCGGUGGAUACUGUCGAGCUCGAGUCCGGAAGAGGCGAGUGGAAUCCCUGGUGUAGCGGUGAAAUGCGCAGAUAUCAGGAGGAACACCAAUGGCGAAGGCAGCUCGCUGGGACGGUACUGACGCUGAGACGCGAAAGCGUGGGGAGCAAACAGG